rnacentral:rRNA from 1 species
CAAUAGCGUAUAUUAAAGUUGUUGCAGUUAAAAAGCUCGUAGUUGGAUUUCGGGGUGGCCUGGCUGGUCCGCCGCAAGGUGAGUACUGGUCAGCCGCCCUUCCUCUCGAAAGCCCCGACUGCUCUUUACUGCAGUGGUCGGGUAGUUCGGGACGUUCACUUUGAAAAAAUUAGAGUGUUCAAGGCAGGCUAUCGCCUGAAUACAUUAGCAUGGAAUAAUGGAAGAGGACCUCGGUCCUAUUUUGUUGGUUUCUAGGGCCGAAGUAAUGAUUAAGAGGGACAGUUGGGGGCAUUCGUAUUUAAUUGUCAGAGGUGAAAUUCUUGGAUUUAUGAAAGACGAACUAGUGCGAAAGCAUUUGCCAAGGAUGUUUUCAUUAA